rnacentral:lncRNA from 1 species
GCUCUUUUUGGGAGUGAGUGUGUUCGUGGUCCCUUUCAUCUAGGUUUUGUAAGGAACGUUUUGGGAGUAGUGCUCGCCGAAUGGAACUCAAAGGACCUCUGCUACAGAUCUGCCUUCCUCCCGAGCUGAAGUGCUUUAGUCCUAAGGGUUUAACCCUUCCCCAUUUUUCUUCUGACUCCAUUUUUGCAGGGCAUGUUGAGUCGGCUGCAUCUAGAGAUCCAACGAGUAGGAGUGUUGGCUGGUAAGCUGGGCAUCCGUGUAUCUGAGUUUCUUAGCAAUAAAGUGAAAUGCAAUCUUA